GUAGUGGCACAGUGGUUUGAGUAUUAGACUGUAACUCUGGAGACCAGGGUUCGAUUCCCCGCUCGACA